rnacentral:rRNA from 1 species
AGUGGCGAAAGGGCGAGUAAUGGUAUCGAACGUGCCCCGAGGUGGGGGAUAGCUGCGGGAAACUGCAGGUAAUACCCCAUAAGCUCUACGGAGGAAAGGUUCACCGCCUCGGGAGCGGCGAUACUCCUAUCAGGUAGUUGGUGAGGUACGGCUCACCAAGCCGAAGACGGGUAGCGGGUGUGAGAGCACGACCCGCCGCAUCGGGACUGAGACACUGCCCGGACUCCUACGGGAGGCUGCAGUAACGAAUCUUCCGCAAUGGGCGCAAGCCUGACGGAGCAAUGCCGCGUGUGGGAUGAAGCUGCUACGCAGUGUAAACCACUGUCAGGGUCUCGCACCAACGAGCAGACCCAGAGGAAGGGCCGGCUAAACUCGUGCCAGCAGCCGCGGUAAUACGAGUGGCCCGAGCGUUAAUCGGAAUCACUGGGCUUAAAGCGUGCGCAGGCGGACCGGCAGGCAUCAUGUGAAAGCCCACGGCUCAACCGUGGAACAGCAUGGUGAACCGCCGGUCUCGAGGAAGGUAGGGGCCAGCGGAACUAUGGGUGGAGCGGUGAAAUGCGUAGAGAUCCAUGGGAACGCCAAUGGCGAAGGCAGCUGGCUGGGCCUUUCCUGACGCUCAGGCACGAAAGCGUGGGGAGCAAACAGGAUUAGAUACCCUGGUAGUCCACGCCGUAAACGAUGCACACUAGGUCGGG